AUUGAACGCUGGCGGCAUGCUUUACACAUGCAAGUCGAACGGUAACAGGGAGCUUGCUCCGCUGACGAGUGGCGAACGGGUGAGUAAUGCGUCGGAACGUGCCGAGUAGUGGGGGAUAACGCAGCGAAAGUUGUGCUAAUACCGCAUACGUACUGAGGUAGAAAGUGGGGGACCUUCGGGCCUCACGCUAUUCGAGCGGCCGACGUCUGAUUAGCUAGUAGGUGAGGUAAAGGCUCACCUAGGCGACGAUCAGUAGCGGGUCUGAGAGGAUGAGCCGCCACAAUGGGACUGAGACACGGCCCAGACUCCUACGGGAGGAAGCAGUGGGGAAUUUUGGACAAUGGGCGAAAGCCUGAUUCAGCCAUGCCGCGUGUCUGAAGAAGGCCUUCGGGUUGUAAAGGACUUUUGUCGGGGAGGAAAUCCCCAGCGCUAAUACCGCUGGGGGAUGACAGUACCUGAAGAAUAAGCACCGGCUAACUACGUGCCAGCCGCCGCGGUAACAC
rnacentral:rRNA from 1 species